AUAUCCAAAAAAAAUUAAGAAUUGAUUAUGAAAUAUAAGAAAAUGGUUAAAUGUAGUUUCUAUUGGAAAAUAUGUGAAGUCAUUUUGUACCUGGAAAGAAGCUGUUAUAGCGGAAAGAACUUCAUAGAAAUGCUCCCAAGGGUGAUUUUUCGGUGGCCUGAAGGGGAUGACAAGAUAAUGUAAACCCAAAAGAGAUAUCAACUAAUAGAUAUUAAUUACCGAAAUGCCUGACGCAUAGAUCUCGAAGGUUGUGUACCAAUGCUAGGACCAGCUCUCAGCUUCAUUAAUAAAACUCGAACAAUGUU